rnacentral:rRNA from 1 species
UCGAACGAUGAACCUCACUUGUGGGGGGAUUAGUGGCGAACGGGUGAGUAACACGUGAGUAGCCUGCCCUUAACUCUGGGAUAAGCCUGGGAAACUGGGUCUAAUACCGGAUAUGACUCCUCAUCGCAUGCUGGGGGGUGGAAAGCUUUAUUGUGGUUUUGGAUGGACUCGCGGCCUAUCAGCUUGUUGGUGAGGUAAUGGCUCACCAAGGCGACGACGGGUAGCCGGCCUGAGAGGGUGACCGGCCACACUGGGACUGACACACGGCCCAUACUCCUACGGGAGGCAGCAGUGGGGAAUAUUGCACAAUGGGCGAAAGCCUGAUGCAGCGACGCCGCUUGAGGGAUGACGGCCUUCGGGUUGUAAACCUCUUUCAGUAGGGAAGAAGCGAAAGUGACGGUACCUGCAGAAGAAGCGCCGGCUAACUACGUGCCAGCAGCCGCGGUAAUACGUAGGGCGCAAGCGUUAUCCGGAAUUAUUGGGCGUAAAGAGCUCGUAGGCGGUUUGUCGCGUCUGCCGUGAAAGUCCGGGGCUCAACUCCGGAUCUGCGGUGGGUACGGGCAGACUAGAGUGAUGUAGGGGAGACUGGAAUUCCUGGUGUAGCGGUGAAAUGCGCAGAUAUCAGGAGGAACACCGAUGGCGAAGGCAGGUCUCUGGGCAUUAACUGACGCUGAGGAGCGAAUGCAUGGGGAGCGAACAGGAUUAGAUACCCUGGUAGUCCAUGCCGUACACGUUGGGCACUAGGUGUGGGGGACAUUCCACGUUCUCCGCGCCGUAGCUAACGCAUUAAGUGCCCCGCCUGGGGAGACGGCCGCAAGGCUAAACUCAAAGGAAUGACGGGGGCCCGCACAAGCGGCGGAGCAUGCGGAUUAAUUCGAUGCAACGCGAAGAACCUUACCAAGGCUUGACAUGAACCGGUAAUACCUGGAAACAGGUGCCCCGCUUGCGGUCGGUUUACAGGUGGUGCAUGGUUGUCGUCAGCUCGUGUCGUGAGAUGUUGGGUUAAGUCCCGCAACGAGCGCAACCCUCGUUCUAUGUUGCCAGCGCGUGAUGGCGGGGACUCAUAGGAGACUGCCGGGGUCAACUCGGAGGAAGGUGGGGACGACGUCAA